rnacentral:rRNA from 1 species
AGUCGCACGGUUCGGGGGCAACUCCGGGCAGUGGCGGACGGGUGAGUAACGCGUAGGAAUCUGUCUUUGGAUGGGGGACAACCGUGGGAAACUACGGCUAAUACCGCAUGAUGCCUGAGGGCCAAAGCUCGCGAGAGCGUCUGAAGAGGAGCCUGCGUCUGAUUAGGUAGUUGGUGGGGUAAAGGCCUACCAAGCCUGCGAUCAGUAGCUGGUCUGAGAGGAUGAUCAGCCACAUUGGGACUGAGACACGGCCCAAACUCCUACGGGAGGCAGCAGUGGGGAAUAUUGGACAAUGGGCGCAAGCCUGAUCCAGCAAUGCCGCGUGGGUGAAGAAGGUUUUCGGAUUGUAAAGCCCUUUUGGCGGGGACGAUGAUGACGGUACCCGCAGAAUAAGCUCCGGCUAACUUCGUGCCAGCAGCCGCG